rnacentral:rRNA from 1 species
UGGGGAAUAUUGGACAAUGGGGGCAACCCUGAUCCAGCAAUGCCGCGUGUGUGAAGAAGGCCUGAGGGUUGUAAAGCACUUUCAGUGGGGAGGAGGACUGGUAGGUUAAGAGCUAAUCAGUUGGACGUUACCCACAGAAGAAGCACCGGCUAACUCCGUGCCAGCAGCCGCGGUAAUACGGAGGGUGCAAGCGUUAAUCGGAAUUACUGGGCGUAAAGGGUGCGUAGGUGGUUUGAUAAGUUAACUGUGAAAGCCCUGGGCUCAACCUGGGAAUGCCAGUUAAUACUGUUGGACUAGAGUAUGGGAGAGGAUAGUGGAAUUUCCGGUGUAGCGGUGAAAUGCGUAGAGAUCGGAAGGAACACCAGUGGCGAAGGCGGCUAUCUGGCCUAAUACUGACACUGAAGCACGAAAGCGUGGGGAGCAAACAGGAUUAGAUACCCCGGUAGUCC